rnacentral:tRNA from 3 species
CAUUAAAUAGCUAAAAGUUAGCAUUGGUCUCUUAAACCAAAUUAUAGUAAAUUAACGAUUACUUUUAAUGA